GGGCCCGCGUCUCAUUAGCUAGUUGGUAGGGUAAUGGCCUACCAAGGCAACGAUGAGUAGCUGGUCUGAGAGGAUGAUCAGCCACACUGGAACUGAAACACGGUCCAGACUCCUACGGGAGGCAGCAGUGGGGAAUAUUGCGCAAUGGGCGAAAGCCUGACGCAGCAACGCCGUGUGAGGGAUGAAGGCUUUCGGGUCGUAAACCUCUGUCGGAAGGGAAGAACGGGCAUUGGUCUAAUAGGCCUUUGUUUUGACGGUACCUUUAGAGGAAGCACCGGCUAACUCCGUGCCAGCAGCCGCGGUAAUACGGAGGGUGCAAGCGUUAUUCGGAAUUACUGGGCGUAAAGCGCACGUAGGCCGCUUUGUAAGUCAGGGGUGAAAUCCCACGGCUCAACCGUGGAACUGCCCUUGAAACUGCAGAGCUUGAAUCCUGGAGAGGGUGGCGGAAUUCCUGGUGUAGGAGUGAAAUCCGUAGAUAUCAGGAGGAACACCGGUGGCGA
rnacentral:rRNA from 1 species